rnacentral:rRNA from 1 species
ACGCUCGACACCUACGGGGGCAGCAGUAGGGAAUCUUCCACAAUGGACGCAAGUCUGAUGGAGCAACGCCGCGUGAGUGAAGAAGGUUUUCGGAUCGUAAAGCUCUGUUGUUGGUGAAGAAGGAUAGAGGUAGUAACUGGCCUUUAUUUGACGGUAAUCAACCAGAAAGUCACGGCUAACUACGUGCCAGUAGCCGCGGUAAUCUGAGCGGGCGUGGCAAGGC